rnacentral:rRNA from 1 species
UGCAGUCGACGAGGCAGCGGCCUUCGGGCCGUUGUCGAGUGGCGAAGGGCGAGUAACACGUGAGGAACCUGCCCCGGAGACCGGGAUAACCAGGGGAAACUCUGGCUAAUACCGGAUGCCCUCGGAUGGUCGCAUGGCCAACCGAGGAAACGCUCCGGUGCUCCGGGAGGGCCUCGCGGCCUAUCAGCUUGUUGGUGGGGUAACGGCCUACCAAGGCAUCGACGGGUAGCUGGUCUGAGAGGACGAUCAGCCACACUGGGACUGAGACACGGCCCAGACUCCUACGGGAGGCAGCAGUGGGGAAUAUUGCGCAAUGGGCGAAAGCCUGACGCAGCAACGCCGCGUGGGGGAUGACGGCCUUCGGGUUGUAAACCCCUUUCAGCAGGGACGAAAAUGACGGUACCUGCAGAAGAAGCCCCGGCCAACUACGUGCCAGCAGCCGCGGUAACACGUAGGGGGCAAGCGUUGUCCGGAUUUAUUGGGCGUAAAGAGCUCGUAGGCGGUUGCGUAAGUCGGAUGUGAAAACUCAGGGCUCAACCCGGAGACGCCAUCCGAUACUGCGCUGACUAGAGUCCGGUAGAGGAGCAUGGAAUUCCUGGUGUAGCGGUGAAAUGCGCAGAUAUCAGGAGGAACACCAGUGGCGAAGGCGGUGCUCUGGGCCGGUACUGACGCUGAGGAGCGAAAGCGUGGGGUAGCGAACAGGAUUAGAUACCCUGGGUAGGUCCACGCCGUAAACGUUGGGCACUAGGUGUGGGGCCUCCUUAAACGGGUUUCCGUGCCGUAAGCUAACGCAUUAGUGCCCCGCCUGGGAGUACGGCCGCAAGGCUAAAACUCAAAGAAUUGACGGGGCCC